rnacentral:rRNA from 1 species
UGCCCUAGUAACGGCGAGUGAAGCGGCAACAGCUCAAAUUUGAAAUCUGGCUCUCGGGCCCGAGUUGUAAUUUGUAGAGGAUACUUUUGAUGCGGUGCCUUCCGAGUUCCCUGGAACGGGACGCCAUAGAGGGUGAGAGCCCCGUCUGGUUGGAUGCCAAAUCUCUGUAAAGUUCCUUCGACGAGUCGAGUAGUUUGGGAAUGCUGCUCUAAAUGGGAGGUAUAUGUCUUCUAAAGCUAAAUACCGGCCAGAGACCGAUAGCGCACAAGUAGAGUGAUCGAAAGAUGAAAAGCACUUUGAAAAGAGAGUUAAAAAGUACGUGAAAUUGUUGAAAGGGAAGCGUUUAUGACCAGACUUGGGCUUGGUUAAUCAUCUGGGGUUCUCCCCAGUGCACUUUUCCAGUCCAGGCCAGCAUCAGUUUUCCCCGGGGGAUAAAGACUUCGGGAAUGUGGCUCUCUUCGGGGAGUGUUAUAGCCCGUUGUGUAAUACCCUGGGGGGGACUGAGGUUCGCGCAUCUGCAAGGAUGCUGGCGUAAUGGUCAUCAACGACCCGUCUUGAAACACGGACCAAGGAGUCGUCUUCGUAUGCGAGUGUUCGGGUGUCAAACCCCUACGCGUAAUGAAAGUGAACGCAGGUGAGAGCUUCGGCGCAUCAUCGACCGAUCCUGAUGUUCUCGGAUGGAUUUGAGUAAGAGCAUACGGGGCCGGACCCGAAAGAAGGUGAACUAUGCCUGUAUAGGGUGAAGCCAGAGGAAACUCUGGUGGAGGCUCGCAGCGGUUCUGACGUGCAAAUCGAUCGUCAAAUA